rnacentral:rRNA from 1 species
GACGAACGCUGGCGGUGUGCUUAACACAUGCAAGUCGAACGGUAAGGCCCUUCCGGCGGUCUACGAGUGGCGCACGGGGGUGUAACACGUGAGUAAACUGCCCUCUUUUCUGGGGUAUCAGUCGGAAACGGUUGCUCUUAUUGGAUAUGAGCUCGCAUGGCCUCUUGUGGGUUGGAAAGAUUUUUUUUGGUUGGGGGUGGUCUCGCGGCUUAUCAGCAUGUUGGUGGGGUAGGGGCUCACCAAGGCUUCGUCGGGUAGCCGGCCUGCGAGGGCGACGGGCCACGUUGGGGCUGAGAUACGGCCCAAACUCCGACGGGGGGCAGCAGGGGGGAAGAGUGCACAAUGGACGGAAGGCUGAUGCGUCAGCGCCGCGGGCGGUAUGACGGCAUUCGGGUUGUAAUCCGCGUUCAAUUGUGACGAAGCUUUUUUGUGACGGUAGCAGGAGAAGAAGCACCGGCUAACUACGUG